rnacentral:rRNA from 1 species
UACGUAUGGUGCAAGCGUUAUCCGGAAUGACUGGGUGUAAAGGGAGCGUAGACGGUUGUACAAGUCUGAUGUGAAAGCCCACGGCUCAACUGUGGGAGUGCAUUGGAAGCUGUAGAACUAGAGUAUCGGAGAGGCAAGUGGAAUUCCUAGUGUAGCGGUGAAAUGCGUAGAUAUUAGGAGGAACACCAGUGGCGAAGGCGGCUUGCUGGACGAAAACUGACGUUGAGGCUCGAAAGCGUGGGGAGCAAACAGG